GAUGAACGCUGGCGGCGUGCUUAACACAUGCAAGUCGAACGAAGCACCUUAUUCUGAUUUCUUCGGAAUGAAAAAUUUGGUGACUGAGUGGCGGACGGGUGAGUAACGCGUGGGUAACCUGCCUCGUACAGGGGGAUAACAGUUAGAAAUGACUGCUAAUACCGCAUAAGACCACAGCACCGCAUGGUGCAGGGGUGAAAACUCCGGUGGUAUGAGAUGGACCCGCGUCUGAUUAGGUAGUUGGUGGGGGAACGGCCUACCAAGCCGACGAUCAGUAUCCGACCUGGGAGGGUGACCGGCCACAUUGGAACUGAGACACGGCCCAAACUCCUACGGGAGGCAGCAGUGGGGAAUAUUGCACAAUGGGGGAAACCCUGAUGCAGCGACGCCGCGUGAGCGAUGAAGUAUUUCGGUAUGUAAAGCUCUAUCAGCAGGGAAGAAAAUGACGGUACCUGACUAAGAAGCACCGGCUAAAUACGUGCCAGCCGCCGCCGUAA
rnacentral:rRNA from 1 species